UGGGCUUGAACCGCAGAUGCAAUCCCCUGAAAAGGGGCUAUCCUUCGGGACAUCUGUAG
rnacentral:rRNA from 1 species